CCGGGACGCGCUUACCCAAACCCGUGGUCGGUAUUAUUUAAUCCUCUCACGAAGAACCGAAACUGCUCCACCUCACAGGCUGUGUCAGCGAAGCAGCGCUCCCUGUCGGCCAGAGGCGACACCACGGCCAGCGCGGUGAAGGACAAACAACAAGAGGGACAAUGUAAUGUUGAGGACAAGCAAAAAAUGAUGCAAUUUCAGAACAAACCGGUAGGAUUAUGGUUUAGCCGAGGGAUUCAGGCAGAAAGAAACACGCACACACCAGUGAAAGUGCAGAGAGUUCACCUCUCCUAAAACAAAUAUAUUAAUUUUACUCACUCCGGAUAUCUGCCUGCUUUGGUUGUUUAGUAGUAAUGGCUACUAUGCCCCUCAAAUCUUUCUAUGAUAUCAGUAGACUGUACAACAUGGUCUGGGACUUAUGUUGGCACUGAACUGGAGCAUGCAGACAUCUAGGGCAGGUAACAGGAAUGUGUUUAAAUGGGGUCUAACUGCACUGCAGCCUGUAGGACUCAACUCCUACAAUGUUUGAUAUGUACAGGCAACUCCACAGACCACAAAUAUACAUAACAAUGGACCUGAAACUGAUAUUACAUAUUAUCUUUCAUCUGUAAAAUUCACUCAGAAUGUAAGAUACCAUCAACUACAUCAACAAACAAAGAGCUCCAAGUAGAUGUCAGUGUGUUUAUUCAGUGUGUCAAUAAUUUAGGGAAGGUGGAGCGUGGGGUAGUGUGUGGUGGCUCUGGCAGUGUUCGUCUACUGUGAAUCCACCGAAAGCCUCAACACUCCCAACAAUACAGAGAGACCAGUCAAUCUCUCUAGUCUAGAAAAGGCCUAGUUCUAUAGCCUCCACUCAGGAGGAACUAGCCGCGGGCCACCAUUAUGAAGGCUAUAUAGCCUCCACUCAGGAGGAACUAGCCGCGGGCCACCAUUAGAAAGGCUAUAUAGCCUCCACUCAGGAGGAACUAGCCGUGGGCCACCAUUAGGAAGGCUAUAUAGCCUCCACUCAGGAGGAACUAGCCACGGGCCACCAUUAGGAAGGCUAUAUAGCCUCCACUCAGGAGGAACUAGCCGUGGGCCACCAUUAGGAAGGCUAUAUAGCCUCCACUCAGGAGGAACUAGCCGCGGGCUCCAUUAGGAAGGCUAUAUAGCCUCCACUCAGGAGGAACUAGCCGUGGGCCACCAUUAGGAAGGCUAUAUAGCCUCCACUCAGGAGGAACUAGCCGUGGGCCACCAUUAGGAAGGCUAUAUAGCCUCCACUCAGGAGGAACUAGCCGUGGGCCACCAUUAGGAAGGCUAUAUAGCCUCCACUCAGGAGGAACUAGCCGUGGGCCACCAUUAGGAAGGCUAUAUAGCCUCCACUCAGGAGGAACUAGCCGUGGGCCACCAUUAGGAAGGCUAUAUAGCCUCCACUCAGGAGGAACUAGCCGUGGGCCACCAUUAGGAAGGCUAUAUAGCCUCCACUCAGGAGGAACUAGCCGUGGGCCACCAUUAGGAAGGCUAUAUAGCCUCCACUCAGGAGGAACUAGCCGCGGGCUCCAUUAGGAAGGCUAUAUAGCCUCCACUCAGGAGGAACUAGCCGCGGGCUCCAUUAGGAAGGCUAUAUAGCCUCCACUCAGGAGGAACUAGCCGCGGGCUCCAUUAGGAAGGCUAUAUAGCCUCCACUCAGGAGGAACUAGCCGCGGGCUCCAUUAGGAAGGCUAUAUAGCCUCCACUCAGGAGGAACUAGCCGUGGGCCACCAUUAGAAAGGCUAUAUAGCCUCCACUCAGGAGGAACUAGCCGUGGGCCACCAUUAGGAAGGCUAUAUAGCCUCCACUCAGGAGGAACUAGCCGUGGGCCACCAUUAGGAAGGCUAUAUAGCCUCCACUCAGGAGGAACUAGCCGCGGGCUCCAUUAGGAAGGCUAUAUAGCCUCCACUCAGGAGGAACUAGCCACGGGCUCCAUUAGGAAGGCUAUAUAGCCUCCACUCAGGAGGAACUAGCCGCGGGCUCCAUUAGGAAGGCUAUAUAGCCUCCACUCAGGAGGAACUAGCCGCGGGCUCCAUUAGGAAGGCUAUAUAGCCUCCACUCAGGAGGAACUGAGAUACAGUCUUCAGUCACUCAUACAGUAGCACUUUGGUCCCAGAGAAGAAAAAAGAGAGACCUUUAUAGUACAUAGUCCUUCCCUGCUAGCGGUGCUCUAUGGCUAACAUAAGGAUCGGACUAGCUGAGCACAUUCGGCACUAUGGCUCGUUAUGUGCUGUAGCAACAGAAGGCUAGCUGUUGUCGAGCACUUAAGGCUAGUGGAAUGCUAUGGCUAAGGCUACAGCCUAGCGGCCCUCUUCUCCUGUUAGCCUAGCGCUGGGGCUAGCAGUCCUCUUCUCCUGUUAGCCUAGUGCUGGGGCUAGCUGUCCCCCCAUCCUCCUGUUAAUGGUCCGUUAGCAGUGCUGAGGGUGGUGCUGUAGAAUGCUCUCCUCUCUCUCUGUAGACACGCAGGAUGGCCUCACACAUAAACCGGAACUGACACUUGAACACAAACAAAAACAGUCCAGUCACAUACAACAAACAUACCAAAGGAAGUUGCAGACAUAGUCAUUAGGGUUUCAAUGCUGAUCUUGGGAGGAGUAGCUAAUGGUUAGACGUAUAGGCGCGUGUGUACCGUGGUCUGGAUCAUCAUGGCCCUCUGGUCUCGGAGCGUCCUGAUGAUGUCCAGAGGGAACACAGGUCGACCGCUCUCCAACAGCGACAAUGCCGUCUCCAUGGUAAUGAGAACACCUGUACGCCCAAUCCCUGCGCUGCAAUUACAUCAACAACAUACAUGAGGUGUUAUAAAUCUUGUAACCCUAGUGUGUGUGUGUGUGUGUGUGUGUGUACCUGCAGUGCACCAUAAGUGGUGUGUCUCCUGUCCUCCUCUCUCUAACAGAGGUGAUGAACAGCAGGAAGUCUGAGGGGUCAUCAGGUACACCAUGGUCUGGCCAUGCUACAUAUUGCAGGUGGGUCACCGAACGCUCCUCUCCCAGCUGGAAACACACACACGUUUAGGAAAAACAGACAGAAAACAGCUGACAGAACACACACUUUUCCCCCAUCUGUCUCUCAUAAAAUAUAUUUUCAAAAAUUAACUUGGAUAUGUGGAUAUGUAAUUGUAAUGGGAGAGAUGGAUGAUAUGUGAGGAGAGAGAAACUGAGAAAAGUGUAGGGUAUGGUAACGCGUUAGUUACUGUGAUGAUGGAGGGAUGGAUGGAUAGAGGAGGAGAGUAGAGGGAGAGAGGAAAGAUGGAGAGAGGCAGAGAGUAGAGGGAGAGAUGGAGGAGUGUUGUCCAGCCUGUGGUCCAUGCAGGGAUUAACUGACAGCCAGAUGAACAGAUGGGUCUACACAGUAGUGUAGUGUUGUGUGUGUGUAUGUACUCUUUGGCAGGCUAUUAUUGUACAGGAGAACAUGUUCUAUAUUAACCUCUGUGGUGCAAAGGUAAAUAAACAAUGCCAAUUGAAGCAGAAACACGUGGAGCUGGAUGGGGAUAGUUUGGUCAAUGUUUCCUGUGGAGAACACACACACACCUCCUCUUAUGUGAGCUAGGUCAUGUUUUUGUGUUACCUGUGUGUGUGUGAGGGUGAACUGGCGUGUGACGUAGGCCAGGUUGCAUUCCUCAGAGUGGCAGCUGACCCUCAGGUACCCAUAAUCCCUCACUUCAGGAGGGUGUGGCCAGUACUGGUGGCACUUAGUCUGAAACACACACAUACAAACACACAAUUAAUUUUGACAUUCAUUAAUAUUGAUUUACUAUAGAGGUUGUAAUCUUUAAGCUCUGAGAAAUAUUAUUUUACUGAGCUGUGUUUCAUAUUUCUGAGUCAGUGCUUCACUCACUGUGUUCUCCCAAACAUCUCAGGACAUUCUCAGGGCCAGUACUUAUAUUACAUCAGGAGAUGAGUGGAAACUGACUGUCAGCCUGAAUGUAUGUAUGUGUGUGUGUUUGCAUGCGAUAAACCAGGGCACUUGUGGAAUAUCAGCAAGACAAUCAAUCAGUGAGAGCUUCAGGUUACCAAGCAACAGGCAGGCAAAGACGCAGACGGUGACUCACAAUGAGCCUGGGACCUUGGUAAACCUGUGUGCUGUACCCAUUCUCAUUCAGUAAUGUGUGUUUCACUCUUUGAAAGAGAGAGAAGGUCCGUGUGCAUACCCGUCCUCUCUCGGUGAGUGUGGUGAGCAUGAUGAUGGUGUGUGUGUGUUGCUCCCACACACUCUGCCAGAAGUGAGUGCAGGUCUGAGGCAGCGGUCCUUGAGCUGCAAUGUAGCGCAGACACACACCAGACCCUGGGGACACCACCUGAGACACAUACACAGCAUGACUAUAAACAAACACAAGCCAACAAGGACAACACUAAACACAGUGUGUACUGACCGUGAUGUGGCUUGCAUUGAUGUAGUCCUCUUGGUCCUGAAGUACCACUCUGGAGACGUCGUCUGACAGAACAAAGAGUUAGAGAUGGAGUCACAACCAGGGCCCUCCAGACCCACCCAAACCCCUGUACCAGCUCAACAAACAAAGCACCAGUGUCCUGUCCUCCAGCUCCACACAUUCAGGACAUUAGGGAAGAUGGGUACACUGGCACUGGUAUGUCGAGUCACUCCUACUAGGACACACAACUGUGUGUGAGAUGGUGUGUGUACUCACAGGGCAGCACGUCCUUGUAUCUGUUCUUGUCUGUGUUCUCAGGGAGACGAGCGCAGGCUACUGACAGGCCAGGCUUCCUCAUGUACAGGUUCUACAACACACACAUCACCACCAUCACUCACCAUGCUCUUCUGUCUGGAUUGUCAACAGCAGGUCUUGUUGACAAGUUAUUCCCAAAGUGCAUCUGUUACAUUUAACACACAAGCAAGUCCCUUUCAUAGUGUUGUUGUCUAACUAAAACACACCUCGAAGUGGAAGGUGAGAGUGCCUGUCUGGAUCCCCCUCUCCAGUUGUUUCAUGGACUCUUCAAGUGUCUGGCCUUGUUCUGAUUGGCCAGGUAGAAGCAGUGGUUCACCGUGUGAUUGGCCAGUCAAAGACAGGGCAGAGGGAAACUGCAGCAGGGGGGCCACACGCCCUGGACCUAAACACACACACAGUGUUAUCUGCAUCAGUAUCUGAUUAGCAGGCCCAUUCUCUUGCUCUCUCUAGUGUGUGUUACCUUUGCGUCGUAUAAGCAGAGCCAGUUCUCUGGAGUGGGACUCUCUGCUGGCUCUUAUAAACAUGACCACCUGAUCAUGCGUGUGUUCAGAGAUGUCACGACCGUUGAUCAGCACGACCUGGUCACCUUCCAACAACCUUGGCUCAACCCGCCCCGCCUACAAUCAAUUCAUCAACAAGUCAAAUCACAUUGGAUUAAUCUAAAGUACUGUUUACAAAUGCAUUAUAUACACAGAUAAACCAGAACAUGUCACUUACAGGGGAGUCAGGGUUGACCUGGGAUAUGGCCAGGGACAUCUUCUGGUCCACGCCACCCUGAGAAGAGGAACAGUCAGGGAUACAGGGAUGGUACUGCAUGUAAGAGAGUAGGUGUGUGAUUAAUUGAAGGGGAGACUCACUUUGACAUUGAAACCAAACUUUCCGUCGUGAUCAGGAGCGAGACGCACCAAUAGCAGGUCGCCAUCCCCCAGAGCACGCUGCAACACAGAGUUUACUGAGUCUGGCACACACAGAUGAGAUACUUUAUCACAAUUACAUGAUCACACCCUUGUCUGUCUGGGUAACUGACCUUGUCCCGGUAGUGAGAGGUGUCCUUAAUGUCUUCCUCUCCUGUGCCGAUGUCAUCAACCUGCGACCAUCCGCCUCCUUGGCUGUGAGUGCCAGAAACACUGAGAUAGAUACUGUGUUCAGAACUGACUCCAACAUGAGAAUGUACUUUACACUGAUACACACACAGUAUGAAAUUGUGUGUGUGUGUGUGUGUCUGACCUGUGUGUAGGCGUGCCCUCCUGGCUGCUGCUGAGGGAGACCCUGUAGGUGUAAAAGACAUCCUCCCCCUCUGACACGUCUCGCAGGUCAUUGUUUAGCUCCACUGAGGAGGGGCGGGGUUUACGGGCGCCAUGACGCACACGAGGACUCCGCCUAACAGAGAGAGAGACAAUGUACGAUGAAGUUACCCCUAGUCACAGCUACCCCUUACAUGGUAUCUCCUGCUGUAGCAGUGUGUGAGGCUGUGGUGUGGGUAGUACCAGUUGGGUGUGAGCGGGGGGGAUCGGGAAGGUAGGCUCUUGGUCUCCAAGUGUUCUGACGAGGUGGAUCCCCUCAGAGCUGGGUUCCACUCCAUCCCACCCAUCACUUUCUUACACACUGGACCACUGCAGAGGAGACGAGAGUGUGUGUGUGCAGAUGAGUAAAAGAAAGAUAGUGUUAAUGAUGGGGGGUGUGUGUGUGUGCAUGCUUGCCUGUCUGUUUUAGUGUUGCCCAAGGCCCAGUGUUGUGAGAGCAGCUUGUUGUGUAUCUGGGUUGCCAGGUUGGUGUGGUGUGGGCUACAGGUUGCCAGGUUGGUGUGGAAGAAGCAGUGAUGGUCCACACAUGACCUCCACAGGUUCUUACAGGCCCUGGGGCACGGCAGGACCAGGCUCACCACACAGUCCUGCGUCUCCCCCUGGAACACACACACAGGUUAUGAAGACAACACUAAGGUCAGCAAAUAUGAGAGCAGAACACAAUUUUGAGCCAAUCAGGACUCACAUGUUUGCGUCUGAGCUGCAUAAGGAAGCGUUUCCUCUUGAAGGAUAUCUUGAUGAUGUUCACCCUGCAGGAGACAAUACACACUCAGGGUGUGUAUUUGCGUGCGGUGUGUGUGUGUGUGUGUGUGUCUGAUCAGAAGUCCAGGUGCUCACCAGGGGAAGAAACUGGAGCAAAUCAUGUUACAGAAGAUAGCCACGCCCCCUGAGGCCAAUCCCACCAAUAGAGGGGAACUGUUGGAGUCCUGAAAGAAAGAAAGAGAUAGAAACAUGAGAGUGAGAAGAGGGAAGACGAGGGUGAGUCAGAAGGAGACAUAUGGAGGUACUUACCAUGGCAGUGUGUAGCUCCACUCCAUACAGCUCCAGAGUUCUUGCUGUGUUGAGAAAACACAGCUCUGCAUCACUCUGCUUCAGCCCCCUGAAACAGCACAUGAGUAGGAUAGGUUGGUAUCAGCAUUAUGCCAACAGCGCCACCAUGUCCUCUAGUAGGCUAGGGGGUGCUGUACACGUGCCUAGCCUGGGUGUGGGUGUGUACCUGUGCCCUGGGUACAGAGCCUCCACUCUAGACAGGAAGUCAUCAUCCUGCUCCGGGAGGAAGUGGCUUUUGGACAGGUAACCAGGGAGAAGGUCUGGGGAGUAGUCACCUAGCUCAGCUACAAUACAGAGAGAGAAAGCGGAGAAAGAGAGAGAAGGGGAGAGCAAAAGAAGGGGUGAAGGAGAGAGAGAAGGGGUGAGAGAGAGAGGGGGGUGACACAGAUUAUGUUAAACCCCCAGACAGACAACACACUAAAAAGACCACAGAAGAGUGUAACUUACACUGCACAGCAUAGGAGGCCAGUACCACAGCUGCACUCAGAGGACACUUCAACCUGCAGGACACACACUUUCUCAAUGUAACGUCACAUUGUUUACACCACUAGGUGGAGUAAGAGGGAAUGCAUGUGUAGGUGGGAGCUCGUGGUGUCUGACCUGCCCUCUCUGAUGUCACUCCUGAUCUGGAGGAAGUACAUAUGUCUGAAGACAAAGGAUGGUAGAGGAGACUUAUUAUCUGAAUCACACAUGUACAGUACAAGCUAAUGACACACACACACUCUCUCAACAUAGUCUACAGGUACACACACUCACUCAACAUAGUCUACAGGUACACACACACACUCAACAUAGUCUACAGGUACACACACUCACUCAACAUAGUCUACAGGUACACACACACACUCAACAUAGUCUACAGGUACACACACACACUCAACAUAGUCUACAGGUACACACACACACUCAACAUAGUCUACAGGUACACACACACACUCAACAUAGUCUACAGGUACACACACACACUCAACAUAGUCUACAGGUACACACACACACUCAACAUAGUCUACAGGUACACACACACACUCAACAUAGUCUACAGGUACACACACACACACUCAACAUAGUCUACAGGUACACACACACACACUCAACAUAGUCUACAGGUACACACACACACAGUCUACAGGUACACACACACACACUCUACAUAGUCUACAGGUACACACACACACACUCUACAUAGUCUACAGGUACACACACACACACUCUACAUAGUCUACAGGUACACACACACACUCUACAUAGUCUACAGGUACACACACACACUCUACAUAGUCUACAGGUACACACACACACACACACUCAACAGUCUACAGGUACACACACUCUACAGUUACACACACUCAACAUAGUCUACAGGUACACACACACACUCAACAUAGUCUACAGGUACACACACUCAACAUAGUCUACAGGUACACACACUCAACAUAGUCUACAGGUACACACACACACACACUCUACAUAGUCUACAGGUACACACACACACUCUACAUAGUCUACAGGUACACACACACACUCUACAUAGUCUACAGGUGUACACACACACACACUCUACAUAGUCUACAGGUGUACACACACACACACUCUACAUAGUCUACAGGUACACACACACACACACUCUACAUAGUCUACAGGUACACACACACACACACUCUACAUAGUCUACAGGUACACACACACACACACUCUACAUAGUCUACAGGUACACACACACACACACUCUACAUAGUCUACAGGUACACACACACACUCUACAUAGUCUACAGGUACACACACACACUCUACACAGUCUACAGGUACACACACACUCUACACAGUCUACAGGUACACACACACUCUACACAGUCUACAGGUACACACACACACUCUACAUAGUCUACAGGUACACACACACACUCUACAUAGUCUACAGGUACACACACACACACACUCAACAGUCUACAGGUACACACACACACUCUACAUAGUCUACAGGUACACACACACACACUCUACAUAGUCUACAGGUACACACACACACACUCAACAUAGUCUACAGGUACACACACACACUCAACAUAAUCUACAGGUACACACACACACUCAACAUAGUCUACAGGUACACACACACUCUACAUAAUCUACAGGUACACACACACAGGGGCUCUGAACCCAGGUCUCCCAUAGGAGAACCCAACCUCUUAACCAUUAGACCAAAAGGAAAUUCCCUAUUGGGCCAAAGGUUCCAGUGAAUUUGAAGUGGCAGGCAGGGCUACCUCAUCCCGAGACCAUGAUCUCUCCCCAUGUCCAUACCUGGUCUGGCCAUGCUGUAGAGAGUUGGGGUCUGAGAUGAAGAAUCGGACUCGGAGGGUCAGGUAGAAUGGAGAGACAACUCCUGUAGGACAGAGACGCUGUUAGACACAGCCCAAUGACCUCACCUCUGACCUUAAUCCGACCGUCACCUCUGACCUUAAUCCGACCGUCACCUCUGACCUUAAUAAUCCGACCGUCACCCCUGAUUUUAAUAAUCAGUCACCCCUGACCUUAAUAUGACCCCCACAAUCCCCUCACCCCUUCCACAGAAUUCAAUCUUACAUUUAUAAUUUAUCAAAAUGCACACUGGACUAAACAGUAGGGCGUCACUGGGCUCAGGCUAAACAGUAGGGCGUCACUGGGCUCAGGCUAAACAGUAGGGCGUCACUGGGCUCAGGCUAAACAGUAGGGCGUCACUGGGCUCAGGCUAAACAGUAGGGCGUCACUGGGCUCAGGCUAAACAGUAGGGCGUCACUGGGCUCAGGCUAAACAGCAGGGCGUCACUGGGCUCAGGCUAAACAGCAGGGCGUCACUGGGCUCAGGCUAAACAGCAGGGCGUCACUGGGCUCAGGCUAAACAGCAGGGCGUCACUGGGCUCAGGCUAAACAGCAGGGCGUCACUGGGCUCAGGCUAAACAGCAGGGCGUCACUGGGCUCAGGCUAAACAGCAGGGCGUCACUGGGCUCAGGCUAAACAGCAGGGCGUCACUGGGCUCAGGCUAAACAGCAGGGCGUCACUGGGCUCAGGCUAAACAGCAGGGCGUCACUGGGCUCAGGCUAAACAGCAGGGCGUCACUGGGCUCAGGCUAAACAGCAGGGCGUCACUGGGCUCAGGCUAAACAGCAGGGCGUCACUGGGCUCAGGCUAAACAGUAGGGCGUCACUGGGCUCAGUCUAAACAGUAGGGCGUCACUGGGCUCAGUCUAAACAGUAGGGCGUCACUGGGCUCAGGCUAAACAGUAGGACGUCACUGGGCUCAGGCUAAACAGUAGGACGUCACUGGGCUCAGGCUAAACAGUAGGACGUCACUGGGCUCAGGCUAAACAGUAGGACGUCACUGGGCUCAGGCUAAACAGUAGGACGUCACUGGGCUCAGGCUAAACAGCAGGGCGUCACUGGGCUCAGGCUAAACAGCAGGGCGUCACUGGGCUCAGGCUAAACAGCAGGGCGUCACUGGGCUCAGGCUAAACAGCAGGGCGUCACUGGGCUCAGGCUAAACAGCAGGGCGUCACUGGGCUCAGUCUAAACAGUAGGGCGUCACUGGGCUCAGGCUAAACAGUAGGGCGUCACUGGGCUCAGUCUAAACAGUAGGACGUCACUGGGCUCAGGCUAAACAGUAGGGCGUCACUGGGCUCAGGCUAAACAGUAGGGCGUCACUGGGCUCAGGCUAAACAGUAGGACGUCACUGGGCUCAGGCCAAGGUCUCAUUUAGUGUUUCUUACCUUUCAGCUGCUUCUUCAGUGGUUUGUUGGCCUCCAGCCACCUCUGCAAGACAAACUAUGUUAAUCAAAGACAUGAUGUUACAUUCACCAUCUGUUGUGUGAGUUUUAGAGUAUAGACUAAGUGUGUUAGUGUAGCAACUCACAGGAGAGUGUGUUUGAGUUGUGUUAGUGUAGCAACUCACAGGAGAGUGUGUUUGAGUUGUGUUAGUGUAGCUACUCACAGGAGAGUGUUUGAGUUGUGUUAGUGUAGCUACUCACAGGAGAGUGUGUUUGAGUGACGAUGGUGGUGUUGGAGUCUCGUAGCUGCAGACUGAAGAAGUGUCUCUCCAGCAGACCCAGCUGAUUACACACCUGCUCCAGCAAAACCUCACCUGCAUCCUGCUUCUGAGAGACGCAAAACACAGCUUAUACCAGGAGUCAGUCAGUGUGUGUGUGUGUGUGUGUGAGAUAUUGCAGUACAGUGUGUUUUGGUAAAGCUUUUCUAGUGAGUGUGUUCUCCAGGUCAAGGUUGUGUGUUGAGAUCAAUGGGAAGCUGAGAUCUGAGUCUCCCGGUCUAUCAUUCCCACUCUACUCAGGACUGUGUGUACUCACGUUGACUGUAAAGGUCUGGAUAGUGUUGUCCAGUAGUUGAACCAAACACAGUAGAUCAGGUUUGGGCAUGUCUGUUACCGCGGGUUACUCAAACUCUUACACACACACACACGUCUAUCGAGUCCAAAAUGUGCACGCACAGCAGUAUUCUAGAAUAUUGGACCAUUGGCCUUCAUACUUUUGUAAUUCUCAAUGCAGCUCAAGCUAUUUCUCCAAUUGUCAACACAUUCAAAUCAAUAGAGGGAUGCGUAUGCAAAGCCGCGUUGGUUGGGGAGGUACCCGUUAUGGCUGUGUGUUCCCCCUGCGGGUUUCUCUGUGUCUUUGCACUCUGAAUUACGCGUCACUCACUCACUCACACACACUGACACAACCCUCAGUCCAUCUCCACAACCUGGGGAGAGAUAAAACACACAUCUUAAUGAAACACCUCCAGACUCUGGAAACUGUGAUGAUAUCUGCUCAUGUAGUUUAGCCCCUCCCUAAGGAUGACAUCGUCUGCAGUGAACAGCCCCUUUUCUACUUCUCUCUCACACACACACACACACACACACACACACACACACACACACACACACACACGCCCAGUGAGUAAUUUGUGUGUCUGUGAAGCAGUAUCAUGCUACAAUGAGUAAUGCAGUGUGUAUGUUGGUAAUACAUUAUUAUCUGUCCAGAGUCUGAACAUGUCCUUUCCCCCUGUUCUCUCCUCCGCCCUGUGUAGACUGCUGAAUGAUAAGAAUGUUAAAUAUUGUCAGAGACAAGCUAGUCCAUCCACAGGCCUAGGAACUGAUCUCAGCUCUACAUGCACACACACGGGCUGCAGUGUUGUUUACACACCAGUUCUACUGGUCAUCAACUCACUAACCCAUGCUUUUAAUAACAGCUGUGUGUGUGCUUGUUAAUGUAGGCUAAGGGGAGUGGGCCAGGUCUUUUUGUAGGCCACUCUCUCUCUCUCACACACGUUAAUGUUUGGACUCACUCUGAAUACAUUACAGUGAGUAGAGCACUCUCUCACGCCUGAUUUUCCAUAAUGACAUUAACACCAGGUAGAACUGAGCUGCCUAAACCAUUUUAGGACAGAGUUUUUUGCCAAGUCUAGACUGUUGAGUGGGCAGUAUUGGUAUACAACAUUGCCUAUUUAAAGUGUAUCAGCUAGGCCUGAGACUUGCUCCUGGUUGCAUUGGCGAACUUGUGAGCAACGUCAUCUCGGUUAUCGAUAAAACUUGUGUAUCGCAAUGAUUAACACGGAGAAUAAGAACCUACCAUAUAGUAUAUUGGACGUUAUUUGAAACAUACAGCCUCGACGUGGACUUUAAACUAAGUAGGCUCUAUGAACGACCAACAUAAACGUAGCCUAAUGUUAUAGGUUCUUCUGCUGCUACGCUCAACAUGCCAUUCAGCAACUUUAACGUUACUUCACUUCAGAUAUCAAGUUGAUCCUGGAGGAUUGUUAUGAGAACACACACAAUCUAGCUUGAGAAGAUCAGUUAAAAUACCUCAGUAGUCCUGGAUUUGGGAACUUUGUCAUGUCCGUUGAUACUACCGCUGUUAAAAACCUUGGAACUGGGCGCGUCGCGCGGGCAGGUGGAGGUAAACAUCGGUAAAUAUCCGGAAAGAGAUAUUCCCGCUGCCCCGCCUCUUCACAAUGCGCGCUCCCGCCUUGAUGGAUGCGUGUUCUGGUCCUCAACCACCCCCGCUGUCGGCUACAGCAGAUCAUAUUCUUUCAUCAGAGGAAAAAUAUAUCAUGUAAUCUGUUCACGCAGAACUGUAGAGUGACACUCUGAUUCACCAGAACAAGGGGUGGAAUAUACUUUGAAAAAAAGCUCAACUUCCAGAGAUGUGAAAGUGAAACUCGGUCUAGGUUCUUGGCAGGUCCGCAAAAGAGUGGAGUUCCUCCGGUUUUAUUCAUUGAACUACUUUGGGAACGCAUCAUUCUUUCCUUCCUUCCUUGAAGUAGCCUAGGUUACUUAUUCAUAUGAGAAAACGAAUGGUGCCUCAGUAUAGCUUCCACAUGUCCUGCCGUGAGGAGGCUCAUCCAUGGUCCAGUCAGGGGCUCGCUUCCUCUCCUAAGGCAGCGUCAUCUCCUUGUCUCCUCUCCUUUAUCUCAAUAGUCUAAUGACUCCAUCUCAUUGUCUCAUCUCCUCGUUCAUCUGUACUCAUCCAUAAAGUCAGAUAUUUCCAGUUUUUCCAUUCCAGGGCAGAUGAAGAGAAUGAAACCUGUCUAAUUACAUCCCCAAUUAAAAUGUGACUUUCUUAUCUGCUCGAGACAAUCAUAUUACUAUCAAUGUACCGGUCUGUGUCCUAACAGAAUAUGUAACAGCCUGAGAUGCAGCCUGUAAUUUACUCCCAUAGAACCUCUCUGGGGUCCUGCUGCCAUCUACAGGGAAGACAAGGUACUGCUGAAGCGGGUGUUAUUUUCUUUCAAUUCGUGUCGAAUUAAUUUGUGUAGACAACCAGGUGAUGGGAGAUCCUAACUAAUCAAUGGCGUUAAUUGAUCAAUCAAGUACAAGGGAGGAGCAAAAAUCCGCAGACACUCGGCCCACAUAGGACAGGGGUGGGCAAACUUUUUGGUUCGAGGGCCGCACAGAUUUUUGGUGAGACUGAUUUGUUUGUCAAAAUCAAUUUGCAGGCCAGAAAAGGGAGAGUUAUUUGAAAAUCUAUACUGUAGGUCCAUUAUAAUUUAUAUAUAUAUAUAUAUAUAUAGUGUAGGUCCAUUAUAAUUUAUAUAAAUAUAUAGUGUAGGUCCAUUAUAAUUUAUAUAAAUAUAUAUAUAUAUAUAUAGUGUAGGUCCAUUAUAAUUUAUAUAAAUAUAUAGUGUAGGUCCAUUAUAAUUUUUAUAAAUAUAUAGUGUAGGUCCAUUAUAAUUUAUAUAAAUAUAUAGUGUAGGCCCAUUAUAAUUUAUAUAAAUAUAUAGUGUAGGUCCAUUAUAAUUUAUAUAAAUAUAUAGUGUAGGCCCAUUAUAAUUUAUAUAAAUAUAUAGUGUAGGUCCGUUAUAAUUUAUAUAAAUAUAUAGUGUAGGUCCAUUAUAAUUUAUAUAAAUAUAUAGUGUAGGUCCAUUAUAAUUUAUAUAAAUAUAUAGUGUAGGUCCAUUAUAAUUGAUAUAAAUAUAUACUGUAGGUCCAUUAUAAUUUAUAUAAAUAUAUACUGUAGGUCCAUUGUAUUUUAUAUAAAUAUAUAGUAUAGGUCCAUUAUAAUUUAUAUAAAUAUAUAGUGUAGGUCCAUUAUAAUUUAUAUAAAUAUAUACUUUAGGUCCAUUAUAUUUUAUAUAAAUAUAUAGUGUAGGUCCAUUAUAAUUUAUAUAAAUAUAUAGUGUAGGUCCAUUAUAAUUGAUAUAAAUAUAUAGUGUAGGUUCAUUAUAAUUUCAACAUACUUUCUAUCUUGUUUAAGACUUUCAAGAGUGGCCUGGAGUGUUUUUUAAAAUCCAAAAUAAUCAAAAUUUGUGUUGGCCACCCCUGUACUUUGCCCAAGAGUAGGAAAGGGCUGGCUUCUUAUCCCAUACCAUUCUUCAGAGAAUGGACACUUGCUCACUCCCUCUCCAUGGACACUUGCUCACACCCACUCAUGGACACUUGCUCACUCCCCCUCAUGGACACUUGCUCACUCCCCCCCAUGAACACUUGCUCACGCCACCCCAUGGACACUUGUUCACUCCCCCCCAUGGACACUUGAUCACACCCCCUCAUGGACACUUGCUCACUCCCCCCCAUGGACACUUGCUCACAACCCCCCUUGGACACUUGCUCACAUCCCCUCAUGGACACUUGCUCACGCCACCCCAUGGACACUUGCUAACUCCCCCACAUGGACACUUGCUCACUACCCCCCAUGGACACUUGCUAACUCCCCCACAUGGACACUUGCUCACUCCCCCCCAUGGACACUUGCUCACAACCCCCCUUGGACACUUGCUCACACCCCCUCAUGGACACUUGCUCACUCCCCCCCAUGGACACUUGCUCACGCCACCCCAUGGACACUUGCUCACUCCCCCACAUGGACACUUGCUCACUCCCCCCCAUGGACACUUGCUCACAACCCCCCUUGGACACUUGCUCACACCCCCUCAUGGACACUUGCUCACACCCCCUCAUGGACACUUGCUCACACCACCCCAUGGACACUUGCUCACUCCCCCACAUGGACACUUGCUCACUCCCCCCCAUGGACACUUGCUCACAACCCCCUCAUGGACACUUGCUCACACCCCCUCAUGGACACUUGCUCGCAUCCCCUCAUGGACACUUGCUCACUCUGACCCAUGAACACUUGCUUAUGUCCCGUCAUGGACACUUGCUCACGCCCCCCAUGGACACUUGCUCACACCCCUUCAUGGACACUUGCUCAACCCCCCCCCCCCAUGGACACUUGCUCACUCCCCCUCAUGGACACCUGCUCACUCCCCCUCAUGGACACUUGCUCCCUCAUGAACACCUGCUCACUCCCCUCCAUGAACAGCAUUGCAUGGAUGUAAGCAUAAAGGGAUUUUCUGAAAUUCAGCGAUUGAGAGCUACAGUGUAUGCAGCAGGCUUGUGUUCCAGCCCAGUACUAACAAACCCGAUUCUAUUCCACUAACCAAUGUUAGGUGUGUCCCUUUUGCCCAAUCCAGAGAGUGGCCGUUGUGGUGUCGUCAAAAGAGAGUGCUUCUUCUCUGUGAGAUGUUGGAGGGUUACGGACGUGUUACAAUGUGUAGUGUCACCAGUUGCUGUGCCAGUAGGUUACCAAGGUCAGAGGUUAUAUAGAGUAAGAUGGUGAGUUAUAACCAGAAAAGACCGGUUCCUCUGACUCUUAAUGGGGUGACCCCCCAACCAUCUCUCUGUCAGGGGGGUGAUAGGAUGGGGUAACUUCCUCUGCCUCUCUCUCUGAGUGUCAUCUUACUGCUGCAGUAACCAAGACACAACAGCAUUGACUGUCCCUUGAACUCCACUGCCCCAAAUAUAGAGACUAGUGACAGAGAGAGAGAGAAAGAAAGAGAGAUGGGGGAGAGAGAAACAAAGAAGGAGAGAGACAGAGAAAGAGAGAGCGAAAUAGAAAGAGAGAGAGAAAAGGAGUGGUAGAGAGAUAGAGGGGGAGAGAGAAUUAGAGAGAGAAAAAAGAAAGAGAGUGGUCGAGAGAGAAAGAGAGAGAUAAAUGUCUUUGAAAUGUCUUUAUUCUUUUGGAACUUUUGUGAGUGUAAUGUUUACUGUUCAUUUUUAUUGUUUAUUUCACUUUUGUUUAUUAUCUUCUUCACUUGCUUUGGCAAUGUUAACACAUUUUCUUUUGUUUUGGUCUCCCCCACCCCUCUCUCUCUCUGUCUCUUUCUGAUGGUCUUCCUCUGUGCGAUGGGCAGAGUGUGUUGUUGGUGUUGUCAUCGUUGGAGCAAUGCGUGUUCCCAUUUGUCUGUCUCGUUAGGGUAACAUGUAUGUACUUUCUCGUUAGGACAGUGUGAACCUAUUGACUAGAGUCUAGACGGUGUCUGAUUCAGAAAGUUCUCUCUCUGGCUACAUAUGAAGAGUUUAUUUCCAAAAUUCUAUCUCCAUACAUUUUUCACGUUUUUCAUGUGUGUGUAAAAUAUUACUUUUCUCAGUUUUUUUUAUUAAUAGAUUGUAGGUGUGUAUUAAAAUGUGUCUUUUUUUUGCAAAACACUGUACAGUAUAUCCAUUGUUUAGCGGGAAUGGAAUGUUUGUAUCCUGUAGACUGUGAUAUGUGGUUGUCUCACCUAGUUACCUGAAGAUGAAUAAACUACCUGUAGUCGCUCUGGACAAGAGCUUAUGCUAAAUUACUAAAAUGUCAAAUGUAAAUGAUUUACAUACAGAUUUCAUAUUACUGUAUUGAUUCAAAGCAUAUAUAUAUAUAUUUAUAUAUAAACAGUUGAAGUCGGAAGUUUACAUACACUUAGGUUGGAGUCAUUAAAACUUGUUUUUCAACCACUCCAAAAAUUUCUUGUUAACAAACUAUAGUUUGUUAGGUCGGUUAGGACAUCUAAUUUGUGCAUGACACAAGUCAUUUUUCCAACAAUUGUUUACAGACAGAUUAUUUCACUUAUCAUUAACUGUAUCACAAUUCCAGUGGGUCAGAAGUUUACAUACACUAAGUUGACUGUGCCUUUAAACAGCUUGGAAAAUUCCGGAUCAGAUCAGAUCAUCAGUCAGAACUUCCUGACUGAUGUCUUGAGAUGCUGCUUCAAUAAAUCCACAUAAUUUUCCUUUCUCAUGAUGCCAUCUAUGUCAUCUAUAGUGAAAAAACACCAAUAUCUUUCAUACGUUCUUUAAACAAUAAAAGUUAAUUUGCCAACAUUUAUGAAAAUUGAUAUACAGCCUUUUGGGAAAAAACUCAUAUUAUGUAAUGAAUUACAUGAUUUGUUUUAUUAUAUUAUGUAAUAUUGAUACACUCUUUGGCACACACAGAAUACAGACCUGUCACACACACACACACACACAUACACACACACACACACACACACACACACACACACACACACACACACACACACACACACACACACACACACACACACACACACACACACAUUCCCCAAAGCAGUAGCACAGUGUCUGUCCAUGCAGAGCUCCUACAAAGUUUUAGAAGGUUUUCCAUUGACAGGACGUUGAUUCGACAGUACACCCGGGGCACGCUGGAGCCCCUGUCAGGAUUUAGUGGAUGAGUGACUUGAGCCCAACGCACAAUAAUGUAGCCUACAGGGGUGCCAGGGGCGCCUUGGACUCAAUUAGGCCUACGUCAGAGAGUCAGAGAGGUCUUUUGACGGGAGAGCGUGUGGGAUUGUUGUAAAUAGCCUGCCUGCCGAGCGCGCGCUGUCAGUGGUGCUGAACUCUUCAGACCACAGCCACCAGAGUUAAAGAAUAUCUCAGUUUGUUCGCUCCUUUCACUGGACUUCAUUAUUUCAUCCAGAUGGGCGUUAUGCAGCCAAUGCGCAGUAUGUUCUAUGCCAAAAUGAAAGGGCUUGUGUCAUUUUUUACUGGUAAGUUUGACAUUCUAUGGAAUUCUAUUAAUGGAAUUCGGUGGCCUAACACCUUUUCUCGACAACUGUUAUAAUGCAUUAUUAUAGGGUCAUAAAGCAUUGUCAAUAACAGGUACACUACAUGACCAAAAGUAUGUGGACACCUGCUCCUCGAAGAUCUCAUUCCAAAAUCAUGGACAUUAAUAUGGAGUUGGUCCUGCCUUUGCUGCUAAAAUAGCCUCCAGUCUUCUGGGAAGGCUUUCUACUAGAUGUUGGAACAUUUCUGCUGGGACUUGCUUCCAUUCAGCCACAAGAGCAUUAGUGAGGUCGGGUGCUGAUGUUGGGCAAUUAGGCAUGGCUCGCAGUCAGCGUUCUAAUUCAUCCCAAAGGUGUUUGAUGGGGUUGAGGUCAGGGCUCUGUGCAGGCCAGUCAAGUUCUUCCACACCGAUCUCGACAAACCAUUUCUGUAUGGACCUCGCUUUGUGCACGAAGGCAUUGUCAUGCUGAAACAGGAAUAGGGCUUUCCUCAAACUGUUGCCACAAAGUUGGAAGCACAGAAUCAUCUAGAAUGUCAUUUAUGCUGUAGUGUUAAGAUUUCCCUUCAGUAGAACUAAGGGGCCUAGCCCGAACCAUGAAAAACAGCCCCAGACCAUUAUUCCUCCUCCACCAAACUUUACAGUUGGCACUAUGCAUUGGAGCAGCGAGCGUUCUCCUGGCAUCCGCCAAACCCAGAUUCAUUCAUUGCACUGCCAGAUGGUGAAGCAUGAUCACUCCAGAGAAUGCGUUUCCACGGCUCCAGAGUCCAAUGGCGGCGAGCUUUACACCACUCCAGCCGAUGCUUGGCAUUGUGCAUGGUGAUCUUAUGCUUGUGUGCGGCUGCUCGGCCAUGGAAACCCAUUUCAUGAAGCUCCCGACGAACAGUUCUUGUGCUGACAUUGCUUCCAGAGGCAGUUUGGAAAUCAGUAGUGAGUGUUGCAACCGAGGACAGAUGAUUUUGUAACGCACGUCGUCGGGAGAAGGAGAAGAGGACCAAGGUGCAGCGUGGGUGAAGCCUUCUGAUUUCCAAUACCUGAAGGUCAUCGGCAAAGGAAGCUUUGGGAAGGUGGGAGCAAGUGUGUGUGUCCCUUUACGUGUGUGUGUGUUUAUGAGUAGGCCGGUGUGUGUUUGUUGUGUUGGUGAAGUCUUUAUCUUGUUGUAGGUGGUGUUAGCGAGACACAGACAGAGUGGAAGUAUGUAUGCUGUCAAGGUUCUACAGAAACAGGUCAUACUGAGGAAGA